GUCUUUUUUAGUAGCCACUUAGUCACAAACACUGGCCAAAGUUUGUGUUUAUAUUUGUUUUUGUGUAAAAAAUGCAAAAAACAAAUAUGAACGCUAACUUUGGCCCGUGUUUGUGACUAAGUGGCUACUAAAGAUGAC